CCCCCCCCCCCCCCAAAUCAAGUGACCCUUAGAAAAAUUGCAUGCCACCACCCUUUCCAAAGUCAAAGCCACAUACGAUUAGGAUCUGAUUCACAUUGUUCCAUAUAGAUAUUUAAUUUACUAUGAAAACAACAGGGGCCCACAGCCAGCAGAACCAGUAAAAAGAAACCAGUAAAUGGGAAACUUUGUAUGGGACAUCCUUGGUGAGAAUGGAGCAGUUCUUAUGCAUCUCUGAUAUAGUUAAGUCUAUAAGUUAGACUAUAGUUAAACUCUACCCUGCCUUCUGACAGUUCUUGUUUGUCAGGGGAUAAAUUAAUUUGUAUGUGUUUCAGUUGCUUGGUAAUUUAUUGGCUUAUAGAAUCUUUUUAGGGGAUAUCUUGCAAGAAAGAGGCCAUUUGGCUGUGGGUUUGAAGGAAGCUCCCUGCUUUUGAUCAUAGCUGACAGAUGGUUAACAGUUAACAACAAAUCCUAAGUAAGGAUUAGAAUUUAUUUUUAAAUUAUUUUUGGUAUUAAUGGAAAACAAAGUAUAACAGUAUGACAGUUUAGUUGUGGACCUCCCAAACAUAGAAAAAAUAAAUAAUACUUUGUCAAUGGUAAUUAUAAUUGCAAUGACAAAUUAUAGUUAAGGUUGAAGUGUUCAAGUUGGGAUGUGAUGCUACUACAUUUUUGCCAGGCACCCUGAGAACUUUACUGAGGAAAUAAAAGUAUUAGCAACUAAGCCAGCUCACGCUUUUGAUUCUGGCCACAGUAAUAUGUAAGUGUUACCUGUUGCAGGGAAAAAGCUUAAAAAGCCAAGCAGCUAACAACCAUGGGAGCCCAGGGAAAAUAAAACAGCAAACAAGGAAAUUAAGGAGGUUAUUUAUAGGGGGGGAAAUGUGAAUUAAUCUUGUUUUUAAAGGAAGGAAAGAUAAUGAAGAUAACAGAUCCAAAUGAAGGAAAAGAUCCAAGGGCUAGGACAGGAAGAAAUAAUGGAAAGAAGCAGAAAGUGGAGGAGUACAGUUCUGGAUAUCAUAGGCCUGGAAGAGAAAAUUCCACAAAAGCCAAAAACCUCCCUUUUGUAAUGCCACUUCUAGUAGAAACAGUAGUGGAAGAGCUACUGUAGGAAUUUCAUGACAGCUAGCAACUGAUAGUUCUUAUUCCAGGACUACAUAUUAUCGUGCAGUGCUCAGACGCCCAAAUGAGGAUUGCUCUCCAUUGUAUUAGGUGCUGUAAUAAAAACAAGGAAGACACAGCUUCUCCCCUACUAAACUGUGAGAAUUUAGUCUGGUAACUCUUUGCUGGAAGUUUAAACAUGCCUCCACAGAGACACAGAUACAUAAGAAAGUGUAAUGAAUAAACUAUUAUAGUCAGCUUU